GACGAACGCUGGCGGCGUGCUUAACACAUGCAAGUCGAACGGUAAGGCCCUUCGGGGUACACGAGUGGCGAGCGGGUGAGUAACACGUGGGUGAUCUGCCCUGCACUUCGGGAUAAGCCUGGGAAACUGGGUCUAAUACCGGAUAGGACCACUGCCUGCAUGGGUGGUGGUGGAAAGCUUUUGCGGUGUGGGAUGGGCCCGCGGCCUAUCAGCUUGUUGGUGGGGUGAUGGCCUACCAAGGCGACGACGGGUAGCCGGCCUGGGAGGGUGACCGGCCAAACUGGGACGGGGAUGCGGCCGAGGCUCCUGCGGGAGGCAGCAGGGGGGAAUAUUGCACAAUGGGCGCAAGCCUGAUGCAGCGACGCCGCGUGAGGGAUGACGGCCUUCGGGUUGUAAACCUCUUUCAGCACCGACGAAGCGCAAGUGACGGUAGGUGCAGAAGAAGGACCGGCCAACUACGUGCCAGCCGCCGCCGUAA
rnacentral:rRNA from 1 species